rnacentral:tRNA from 1 species
GGGGUGAUAGCUCAGUUGGGAGAGCGUACGACUGAAGUUAAACUUUGGUACACGAAAAAUCGUAAGGUCACUGGUUCGAUCCCGGUUCGCCCCA